rnacentral:lncRNA from 1 species
AGCCAUGCAGAUACAGUCUAUGGUGUGCAUGCUAACUACCUUUAUCUAAAGGAAAAAUAAAACUUGUUUUUACUUUCAGUAGGAAGCUACAACUUGGUGCCAGACUCCUAAGCUACCUCCCAAAGAGACGAGGAUAGAAGGAACCAUCCAUCUUGAGGUUCACAUUCCAAAGAGAAGUCUCUGAGGCCUUCAAGAAGGACAUUCUGGGAAGUGAAAGUGAGACACCAACCACGGCCUCACUCUGUGCUCUUGGGUGUCAGGAGGUACACCAAAAUAGUAUCAGACCUGCACAGAACUGAAGAGAUGCUAAUCUUGCUCCUGUAUCUCCUUACUCUUUGGCUGGGAAAACACCCAGCAUAAUGUUACCUUUUGGACUUUAAAUGGACAGUAUUUAAAAGGAUUAUCCCCAUGCCUGUGUCAAUUGGACUGGGUGAGUUAAAAAAAACAUAUACAUAAAGACAAUGUUUAUAUUUAAAUGUCAGACAUUGUGUGGGUAGAUUUAGUGUUCUUUCCUAUCCAUGAAUAACAUUA